rnacentral:lncRNA from 1 species
AGAAAACUACCGGUAGUGGCAGCACAUUAACCAUUUUCCCCGGCGACGAGGUUAACCCUCAUUUUUUGUAUACUUGGACAAAGAUAAAGGAGACUUAUGUGAAUGAGUAAUAAUAGACUAAUAGGAGCACUGAGGCUAAACAAUAAAUAUAGCGCACUGCUGCAUUACAGCGAUAAAACCAACUCCUAGCAGGUUAAAUAUCAUGCCUUGACAAGCCAACCACCUAAUCACAAGUCAUGGAACACAAACUCCUAGCAGGUUAUCAUGUCCAAAAGCCAGAAACCAACACCAGCUGUGGAUUAUCAUGUCACCACAAUAUUCAUCAUGAUACUACUUAGGUUUGCAAAACCAGCAGGUCCGCCAUCAGCCAUGAUCAUCUAUGAACCGUAUUUCUAGCAGUGGUCGAUGACAACAUGCCACAGCGUGCUGUUGACGACUUUGAAGGUGCAGAUGUCUCCUGCCUUGAGCUCGUUCUCCUUACAGAAGGCCUUCCAGCCUCUCGUAAGACAAUUAUAGGACCUGCUGGUGCCUGGAUGGUAGUUGACACCUUCCACCUCCCAAGACUUGUUCCUCUCCACGGACUUGAGCGUGAUCUUGCAACGCUCCAGGAAUCCAAAGCGCGCUGGAAAAUGCUGCAAGCCAUUGCGAUCGCACGGGUUAUUUGUAUCACAGUUCGUGGGUGUAUGAUGACAAAUAUUAUGCACCGAGUUGAUAAUACACUGGCAUGUCAAGUAGUUUGAUUGGUUGGUUGGUUCCCUUAUUUCCAAAUGGUGCACUCUUAUUUCUUACUUUCUUUUUUCAAACAAGUUCCUAAUUUGCUCAGUUGAUAAUAAACUGGCAUGUCAAGUACUUACAAGAUAUCUUUUAAGCGCGAGUUCGUUGAUCUCCUUCCUUAACCAAGCCUGCGACCCCGUCGACCCAAGCUCGCAGAGAGCCUUCUUUCGGUGCUGUGAAGUUGUGGAUCCGUCUAGCAUGCUUUUGACUUCGCUUUGUUUCCUUUUCCGGCUGCAAACAUGUUCUUCCUCUUGGCUUUGUGCUCCAGGUGCUAAGAGGACAAUGGUAGUAAUCAAUUUAAUCUAUUACCAAGAUAUAUAGUUUUUCAGAAAAGUUGAGGCUUGUUUCAUACUUUUGCCAUUGCUUUGUUUCCUUGUCCGAGUGGACACAGGUUCUUCUUCUUGGCUUUGUGCUCCAGGUGCUAAGAGGACAAUGGUAGUAAUCAAUUUAAUAUAUUACCAAGAUAUAGUUUUUCAGAAAACUAGCAAGAUGCCCGUGCGUUGCACGGAACAUCAAGAUAAAUUUGUAUGAGUAGUUUAUCUUGUGAGAGAAAAGGAUGAACAAGGGAAGUCUUUAUAUGCAAAUGUGAAGAGGGGUGUGGGUAUCUUUUUGCAAAAUUGUCAGAGUUUCCUUCCUAUCCGUCAAAUAUAAAUCGGACGGCCUAUAUUGCAGGAUGGCAGGCACACCAUCAUCACCAACUCUGUUUUUUAUAAGUGUAGAGAGAUGAGGCUUGUUUCAUACUUUUGCCAUUGCUUUGUUUCCUUGUCCGAGUGGAAACAUGUUCUUCCUCUUGGCUUUGUGCUCCAGGUACUAAGAAGACAAUGGUAGUAAUCAAUUUAAUAUAUUACCAAGAUAUAGUUUUUCAGAAAAGUUGAAGCUUGUUUCAUACUUUUGCCAUUGUUUUGUGUCCUUCUCCGAGUGGAAACAUGUUCUUCCUCUUGGCAUUGUGCUGCAGGUGCUAAGAGGACAAUGGUAGUGAUCAAUUAAAUCUAUUGCCAAGAUAUAAUUUUUCAGAAAAAAUUGUUUACUCACAUUGCUCGCUUUGCUGAGACGAGCUUGUUUUUUCCUCGAUGUGCUCAUUAUUCCCAUUUUGGAAGGUCUCGAAUGAGAAGUUCAUGCACCCCUGAUACUUGAUCAGCAGGACAUCAGUUUCAGCAAUUUCAAAGUAGGCCAGAAACUUUGGCCAUUCGGAACCAGUGAAGAAGACAUUCGGGCCAUCCUUCUUGAGCUCGAUAUGCCAGGAUGUUAAAAAAGUGGCGAUCGGUCUCGGUCUGUUCAGGUCUUCUUCCGAGAUGUAUCCUCGUUGCAGAAACUCGGGAGGAAUAGGCUGCGAGGACAGAUGAAACAGCAUAAUGGAGUGAACAUACUCAGCAGCUUAAUGAUGGUGCACUUAAUAACUUGGUUCUGAACAUUUAAACAAGAAAAGUAAGCAAACCAUCUUUUCCAUGAAACUUCUCUGGAGUGGCACGAUGAACUGUGGCUUACGAGCAAAGGCGUUCUCAAUCUCGGCUGGGCUCAAAACUAAACAUGAACAAGAGUGAAUUAGCUAUGAAUUUUUAGGCCGAAAGUACGAGUAACUGUGAAAGUCCAAACACACCAGUGAUAGUCAGGCCGAACUCUUUAAUGACAAAGCUGGCGUCGAACGCCUUUAGAGUGAGCACGCCGCACCCUUCAUGCCGGAUCACCAAGUACCAGCCAACGCCGAUACCGUGCGCGGCAACAAACUGUGGCCACCCAUCACCCAGGAAUGCCCCUUUGGCGUCUCGGUCGACCUUGACAGGCCAGACAUUCUUGCCGAACGGACUGAGAACGAGGGCCGUCCGCCCGUCGCCAUGAUCUUCGGUACCAAAGCACCCAGCAAGCUCAUCGUUGAUGUGCUGCAUAACCAAAGUGGGGGUCGUCACGGAAGGAUAUAUCAGAAUUUAAGAUGGACAACACAACAGCAGUAACAGUGGUGUCGUUCUUACAAGAUAUUUGGAAUCAGGCAAUUUCACACACUGCUGGAUCUUGAUUGUCUUAGCACAGUUACUUGACAAUCCCAUUGCUUUAACGGAUCCAAGAAAGAAGUUCCACCACC